UGCGCGGUGGAGCUGCGUGAUCUGCCGUCGGGCUGGGAGGUUUCCGAUCGGGCGGAGAGCUCUAGGCGUAGAUCGCGCGAUGGUGGGAAGCAACACAACGAGCUAGAUCUAGUUGCAUGCGUCGUUCUGCUGUGAGGUGACGGGAGUUCUCUGAAGAUUCUAGCGACAACAGUUACAGAGCAUGCUAUAAUGAAUAAGGAGACAGACAAGCAUUCCCGACUGCGGCUACCAUUGUCCCAGUCCAAACAGAUGUUCCUAGCGCAUUUAGGAAGACUACCAUUGUCCCAACUGCAAAUUUGGCACCAAAAACUGCUCCUGCACGACCCUUUAAGGAUAGCAUGUAUUGGAGUUGUAACUUCUUCAGACAAUUCCUGAGAUCCAAGGAGGUCUGGAGGAGGAAGAAGGGCUGGAAUUCUUCUUUCAGAAGAAGCAUCUAGAAGAAGCAUCUGGACAAGAGGGAUGGUGAGAGAGAGGGGUGGUUGGGGGCGGUACCCAUCUGAGGUGGUAGAUAAAGACAAGGUCUUUCUGUUUUUGCAUCGUCUGUAUUAAACUAUUUUGUCUGGACACAACCUUUUUACCAAUCGAGUGCUGGGCUGGACAACCUAGCAUCCGGAUGCUAGACCGGACAAACGAGCACCCUGAUGCUGGGUUUGGCAAACUAGCACCCGGGUGCUGGGUCGGGCAAACCAGCACCGGAUGCUGCCUAGCCACGUCC